CUCCCUUGCCAAAUGCUAAGGGAAUCAAAAGAAAACCAGUUUGCACCAGAAAGCUUUAUCUCUCUUCAGGCCUCUGGUUCGUGUUUCCUUUUUUUUUUUCCCCCCCCUUGGUCCCAGCUUCCUUCCUGUCUGUCUCGGCUUUUCGAAGGCCAGGAAGGGAGGGAGAAGACGUGGGGUAAACGCGUUUGAGAUUUCGUUAGCUUUCUCCAACCUAAUGCCAGCCUGAUAUGACAGAACUACAACUUUCAUCAUCCUCAGCCAGCCUCCUGAUGGGAGUUAUUGCCCUAAAUCUCUGGAAGGCAUUAGAAACCGGCUGAUGGCGCUGCAGGUUCCCCCCCUAGAGAAUGCAAGAGGUACUAAUAACGUUCGUCAAGUUACCGGAGGGAUCCCGCAAUUCGUACGCGGCGCAUUUCUUGCAGAGCAGAAAGGAAGCUGGCCGAGCUGCAGUGAGAGAGUGGAAGGAAAACAGCCCCUUCUUCCUGCCGUCCUGAUCCCCAAUUUGUCGGCAGGGAGAGCAAGCUUUCUCAGCACAUAAGCCACAAAGAAGGCGAAUCUAGUUCCACUCUUUCCACGGCGCGUCCCGUUUACGGCUCGAGAAACCCGCGUCGAUAAAACGCUAGUUUAAGGGUUCAGAGCGCCCCCUGAUGGAGCAGGUUGCAAUAAUGUCAUUUUUUGAGCACCCGGUUGGGUGCUGUUUAGAGGAAUGCAGCCAACAAGACUUUGCAAAACCAAAUCCCUUUCUGUCCAAAUGGCCCCAAAAUACCAGAAAGAUGAAUAGUGAAGGCAUGCCAAGCCAACACCCACAGAAGAGACACUGAGGUCAUCUCCUCAUUCAUGUCCAGCUAAUCUCCCAAGAAAAGAUGACUGUGAGGCAGGAUGGGGACAGACCAAAGCUGAGCUGUGCAAAAGAACAAAGUAAAGACAUACCUUCUAAAUAUGUAAAACCAAAGAUGCAAUCUCUAACUCAUUUACUUUGGGAGUAAGUCCCACUGAAUACAGUUGAGCUUACUUCCUGUGGCACCAGCUUGGACGAAAUGGCAAAGGAUUAUUUUGAAACACCUCAACAGUGGGAUUCCAAGGUAUAGUCUGUUGCAAUUGCAGGGACAGCUUAAGCUAAGAAACCAGACCAUUCAGAAUAAAUCUAAUUGGUGAAAAUUACUAGUGAUCUUUCCUUAUCUGUAGUUUUUGUGUCACCAAAGGUAUUAUUUGCAAUUCAUGGCUCUUUAGGCCCACUGUUUACUCUUUUAAAAACUGAUAAUGUAAAGAAUCCUUUGAAAAGAAAGAAAAUGUUGAUCACUACACCUGAGGGGGGAGGGGGGGCUUAUCUGGGCUAUCAUGUAUAUCCGGAAGGGGCAGCCUUUGGGUGGCUCAGACCACUAAAUAUUUUUGAAGAGGCAAGGACUACAGUACAUGUGGCAAUGCAGUAUAUACAUAUAUGAUCAGCAUUCUCUUGUCCUUUUUUGUUUUGUUAAGGGAUUUUUUAAAAAUAAUGUAUGUUGCAUGUAUUCUUGGAAUCCUCAGGAGUAAAAAUUCUUGACUCAAGGAAACCAUUUUUAAAACCUGUUUUUGACUCCACACUUUCAUGAGCUUAUUAGGCUCUGGGAUCAGAGUUUGGCCACCUUCAAUUUUAACUUAAUGUUUUCAAAGUAUACUUUGCAGAGAAGCAUGCUCACUCACCUAUUUUUUUUUCUUUAAAGGAUAUUUGAAAACCACUUCUACCUCCAUCUGCCUCCUUAAAUUAGCUUCUCUUGUAAGAUAGAUGGCUAAGAAUGGCAGUAUGAGUUUGAAAUAGUCAAUUUAUCCCUAUCAAUAAAAUUCAAGUUGCUGGUAGAU